GACAGAGGUGCCGAGCGUUAGGCGGAAUCACUGGGCUUAAAGCGUGUGUAGGCGGGCCGUUAAGUGUCUUGUGAAAUCCCCCCGGCUCAACCGGGGAAUUGCUGGGCAUACUGGCGGUCUUGAGCAAUCUAGGGGCAGAUGGAACAAGUGGUGGAGCGGUGAAAUGCGUAGAUAUCGUUUGGAACGCCAAUGGUGAAAACAACUUGCUGGGGGUGUGCUGACGCUGAGACACGAAAGCCAGGGGAGCAAACGGG
rnacentral:rRNA from 1 species